UGUUGCACAGAAAUAUUUGAUAGAGGAGAAUAAAUCUGUCAAGGACUUGAAGUUGAAAGUAGAACCCUCUUAUGUUUUCUUCCCUGUUGGUUCUCAGAACAUAUCAAGAUACUUCAUUGCACCGACAACAGAGACUGAUAAAGCUCAACAAGAUAUGCUGCUUGAAAAUAUCCUGCACAAUUCAUUGACAUUCCAUUUCUGGAACAGCCUGACAUUUUCUCUCGUCCCUGAACCAGAUAGCCUUGUGUCUAGACUUUUUAAUCAUGCAUGUAUCCGAUGCCUGGAAUUACUAUGAUUGUCAUCAACUUCCACCAAUUUUGUCUCGAGAUUCCAUUCAGAUUACAGUCCAGAAAAUAUCGGCAGGGUCUUGGUUUCCAUGCACGUUGUACAAUUUUAUUGUAUGUUAGUGAAUCACUGGGAAGUCCACGACUAAAAGAUAGGUAAGAUAUACAGAAAAUUUUGUAAAGCAAAAUAUAAUGAUAAUGUAUUAGUAUCUGAGUUUAUAGGCUGUGAGAACAUGUUAUUUAUCAUUUCUUAAUUUUUUAAUAAAUUAUUAAUUUCUUGAUGUGA